rnacentral:rRNA from 1 species
UACGGAGGGUGCAAGCGUUAAUCGGAAUUACUGGGCGUAAAGCGUGCGCAGGCGGUUUGUUAAGUCCGUUGUGAAAGCCCCGAGCUCAACUUGGGAAUUGCAGUGGAUACUGGCAGGCUGGAGUACGGUAGAGGAAGGUGGAAUUCCCGGUGUAGCAGUGAAAUGCGUAGAUAUCGGGAGGAACACCAGUGGCGAAGGCGGCCCGCUGGGCAGUGGCUGACGCUGAGGCGCGACAGCGUGGGGAGCAAACAGG